CGACAUGUGCUACUGGAUACGCACUUCUUGGUAAUUUUCUCGCUAUUUCCAUUAGUUUCAAUAUAGGAUUCACCAUCAAGUGCACAAGAAUGCGAUUCAGUAACUCGAGGACACAACCACCUUCCAAAGAACUCCAAACCUAUCAUAUACCAAACCAUGAGAACAGCUAUGAAGGUUUAGAUUCAACAAAAAUCGACAAAACGCGCAACAUUUACGACACAAUAGUCCAAUAGCGCGGCAACAAAACGAGAUACAGUGACACAAUGACAAUAUACCAUGAGAUAAUAUAUUAUAAGCUUUUCCUCCAAUAUUUAAGAGUAUAUCAACAUUUAUUGAACUGAUAACUGUUUAAACGUCAUGAACACAGUGAAAUGAACAAGUUUUUGCACCGCUUGAAUAUAUCAACCUUCGUUGACUGUGAUACCCUUUGUAAAAGUCAAAUAGUUAAAGUGACUGUCAUAUUAA